rnacentral:rRNA from 1 species
UACGAAGGGGACUAGCGUUGUUCGGAAUCACUGGGCGUAAAGCGCACGUAGGCGGAUGUGUCAGUCAGGGGUGAAAUCCCGGGGCUCAACCUCGGAACUGCCUUUGAUACAGCACGUCUCGAGUCCGGAAGAGGUGGGUGGAAUUCCUAGUGUAGAGGUGAAAUUCGUAGAUAUUGGGAGGAACACCAGUGGCGAAGGCGGCUCACUGGACCGGUACUGACGCUGAAGCGCGAAAGCGUGGGGAGCAAACGGG